rnacentral:tRNA from 1 species
AAGGUUUUAAGUUAAUUAAACUAAUAAUCUUCAAAAUUAUAAAUAAAGAAAUUUCUUUAAGCCUUA